AUAUGUAGAGAAGGACGUGUAACUUACAAAUGCGUCCAUGUUGAAUUAUAUUAGGAUUAUUUAAUACUAAUUGCCAUUAUUAGGAAAGGUCCCUUAAAUAAGAGAGAUUUAUUAUUCAUAAAAAAAUAGAUAUCAAGGAAAUGCCGUGACAAAUUUUUCACAAAAAUUAAAAUUAAUUUCAAUAAAAUGUUCAAAAAUAUAUAAAAAGAAGAUAUUAAAGAUAAAACAUAGUAUAGUUAAAUGUUUAACCAUUUUGGUCGAGCGUGCGUGUAUAAAUAUUAAGGCUUUGAGUAAUUUAGUUAACAUAACAAAACAUAUUUCUUGUUUGAUUAUCAUAAAAAAUUCUCCCAUGAAUAACAAAACGUAUUCUUCUACAGAAGAGGACAAUUGGAAUAAUGAUCAAUUUACAGCUAGGUACAUGAUUCAAACUCUGAUCGCUGCUGCUGUGAUGACUGUUCUUUUCUUUCUGAUGUUUGCACUUGUGAAAAUUUGGAAAAAAUGGGCAAAGAAGAGAGUUCCCAAUUCUGAUAAUGUUGAAAACUGAGAGAGAUUUGAAGUCUAUGUUAUUUAAUGAAAAAUAUAAUAUUAAAUAUAAUGAAUAAAAUUAAAUAUUUCUUUUAUCUUUUAUUUA